rnacentral:rRNA from 1 species
CAGGAUGAACGCUGGCGGCGUGCUUAACACAUGCAAGUCGAACGAGGUUAUAUUACGAUUCCUCGGGAUGACGAUUUUAACCGAGUGGCGGACGGGUGAGUAACGCGUGGGCAACCUGCCCCAUACAGGGGGAUAACAGUUGGAAACGACUGACAAUACCGCAUAAGCGCACAGUAUCGCAUGGUACGGUGUGAAAAAACUCCGGUGGUAUGGGAUGGGCCCGCGUCUGAUUAGCUAGUUGGUGAGGUAACGGCCCACCAAGGCGACGAUCAGUAGCCGACCUGAGAGGGUGACCGGCCACAUUGGGACUGAGACACGGCCCAAACUCCUACGGGAGGCAGCAGUGGGGAAUAUUGCACAAUGGGGGAAACCCUGAUGCAAGCGACGCCGCGUGAGUGAUGAAGUAUUUCGGUAUGUAAAGCUCUAUCAGCAGGGAAGAAAUUGACGGUACCUGACUAAGAAGCCCCGGCUAACUACGUGCCAGCAGCGGC